rnacentral:rRNA from 1 species
UACGGAGGGAGCUAGCGUUAUUCGGAAUUACUGGGCGUAAAGCGCACGUAGGCGGCUUUGUAAGUUAGAGGUGAAAGCCUGGAGCUCAACUCCAGAAUUGCCUUUAAGACUGCAUCGCUUGAAUCCAGGAGAGGUGAGUGGAAUUCCGAGUGUAGAGGUGAAAUUCGUAGAUAUUAGGAAGAACACCAGUGGCGGAAGGCGGCUCACUGGCCCGGUACUGACGCUGAGGCGGCGAAAAGCGUGGGGGAGCAAACAGG